UCCAUGCUGGUGUAUCGGUAACAUUUCCGCCUCUCAGUGUGCAUCACAAGUGAUCGCGGUAGCGCUGGGUUCGACUCCCAGGCAUGGAA
rnacentral:tRNA from 2 species